ensembl:snRNA U6 U6 spliceosomal RNA
GUGUUUCUUCCAGCAGCACACAUAUUGAAAUUGAAAUGAUAUAGAGAAUUAUUUGCAUGGUCCCUCUACAAGGAAUGUAUAUUUAUAAAACUGUCUUCAUAUUU